rnacentral:rRNA from 1 species
GUGCCAGCAGCCGCGGUAAUACGAAGGGGGCUAGCGUUGUUCGGAUUUACUGGGCGUAAAGCGCGCGCAGGCGGCUUUGCAAGUCAGGGGUGAAAUCCCAGAGCUCAACUCUGGAAUUGCCUUUGAGACUGCUUGGCUUCGAGUACGGGAGAGGUGAGUGGAAUUCCCAGUGUAGAGGUGAAAUUCGUAGAUAUUGGGAAGAACACCGGUGGCGAAGGCGGCUCACUGGCCCGUUACUGACGCUCAGGCGCGACAGCGUGGGGAUCAAACAGGAUUAGAUACCCCGGUAGUCC